AGUGAUGAUGGCAAAGAGGCCACACCCGUUCCCAUCCCGAACACGGAAGUUAAGCUCUUUUGCGCCGAUGGUAGUUGGGGGUCUCCCCCUGUGAGAGUAGGACGUCGCU
rnacentral:rRNA from 1 species